UACAGAGGGUGCAAGCGUUGUUCGGAAUUAUUGGGCGUAAAGGGCGCGUAGGCGGUUCGGCAAGUCUCUAGUGAAAUCUCAGGGCUCAACUCUGAGUCUGCUGGGGAAACUGCCGGGCUUGAGUGUGGGAGAGGAGAGUGGAAUUCCUGGUGUAGCAGUGAAAUGCGUAGAUAUCAGGAGGAACACCGAUGGCGAAGGCAGGUCUCUGGGCUGACACUGACGCUCAUGCACGAAAGCGUGGGGAGCAAACAGG
rnacentral:rRNA from 1 species